GACGAACGCUGGCGGCGUGCCUAAUACAUGCAAGUAGAGCGAAGCGGCGGAUGGGUGAGUAACGCGUGGGUAACCUGCACUUAAGUCUGGGAUACCCUUAGGAACCAGAUGCUAAUACCGGAUACUAAAGGAUGGACCUGCGAUGCAUUAGCUAGUUGGUAAGGUAACGGCUUACCAAGGCGAUGAUGCAGAGCCGAGUUGAGAGACUGAUCGGCCACAUUGGGACUUAGACACGGCCCAAACUCCUACGGGGGGCAGCAGUAGGGAAUCUUCCACAAUGGACGAAAUUCUGAUGGGGCAACGCCGCGGGAGGGAAGAAGGUUUUCGGAUCGUAAAGCUCUGUUGUUGGUGAAGCGGUAAUCAACCAGAAAGUCACGGCUAACUACGUGCCAGCAGCCGCGGUAAUAC
rnacentral:rRNA from 1 species